rnacentral:sRNA from 1 species
GCCAGGCGCAGUGGUGCACACCUGUAAUCUCAGUGGCUCGGGAGGCUGAGACAGGAGGAUCAUGAGUUCAAAACGAGCUUCAGCAACCGUGAGGUGCAAAGCAAGUAGUGAGACCCUGUCUCUA